UACGUAGGGAGCUAGCGUUGUCCGGAAUCAUUGGGCGUAAAGAGCGUGUAGGCGGUCCGGUAAGUCCGUUGUGAAAGUCAGGGGCUCAACCCUUGAAUGCCGGCGGAUACUGUCGGGCUAGAGUCCGGUAGGGGAGUGUGGAAUUCCCGGUGUAGCGGUGGAAAUGCGCAGAGAUCGGGAGGAACACCCGUAGCGAAGGCGGCACUCUGGGCCGAACUGACGCUGAGGAGCGAAAGCGUGGGGAGCAAACAGG
rnacentral:rRNA from 1 species